GCUUCUGAAUUAAAGAUGGACGAUGCAGCAGACUACAAAGUGUUUCCCGCCUCUCCCCUCCCCUCCCCUCCCCUCCCCUCCUCCUUUUGCGGCACCCAAACCCAGCUGAGAACGGUCCCUCAGCCCCUUCGUCGCUAAAUGGGCAGCAGGCUGCAGGGGCAGGUUUACAUGCAAGAACGUGGUAGGUGGGUGGGAGCAGAAAAGCCAUGGCAUUGUCACAGUCUUCAGUGAGAAGGGGGAACUGGACUUCUCUCGAACCUGAGCUCAGCAAUGUUGCGAAGAUCAGCAUUCAGAAUCUCUCUCUGUUGGGCUAGGAAUCCGUAAACAAAGAUAAACGAAAACGAUGACAGUGAUGGUAACGAAUGGAAAUUGCUUCCUGAAAUUCACAGAAUGACAACCAAACCCUGGCUGAACCAAAACAAGAUUCACUAUCCUUUUAGGGCCAAAUACCUGGAAGCUGAAUGUGAAACAGCAAUCAAAUUGUGGAUUAAGGAUGAUCUAUUGCGGACAGACUUAACAUUCAAUAAAAGCACUACAGGUGUAGUCAGUGCAAUGGGACCCAGCCCAUUAUCUUGUAUACUGACAGAGCACCUCACUACAGUAAAAUGAGCCAUGGC
rnacentral:lncRNA from 1 species